UACGUAGGGGGCAAGCGUUGUCCGGAUUUAUUGGGCGUAAAGCGCGCGCAGGCGGUCUAUUAAGUCUGAUGUGAAAGCCCACGGCUCAACCGUGGAGGGCCAUUGGAAACUGGUAGGCUUGAGUGCAGGAGAGGAGAGCGGAAUUCCCGGUGUAGCGGUGAAAUGCGCAGAUAUCGGGAGGAACACCAAUGGCGAAGGCAGCUCGCUGGGACGGUACUGACGCUGAGGCGCGAAAGCGUGGGGAGCAAACAGG
rnacentral:rRNA from 1 species